rnacentral:rRNA from 1 species
UACGUAGGUGGCAAGCGUUGUCCGAAAUUAUUGGGCGUAAAGCGCGCGCAGGCGGUCCUUUAAGUCUGAUGUGAAAGCCCACGGCUCAACCGUGGAGGGUCAUUGGAAACUGGGGGACUUGAGUGCAGGAGAGAAGAGUGGAAUUCCACGUGUAGCGGUGAAAUGCGUAGAGAUGUGGAGGAACACCAGUGGCGAAGGCGACUUCCUGGCCUGUUCUUGACGCUGAGGCGCGAAAGCUAGGGGAGCAAACGGG